UAUGUUUUUUAUUUGCGCUGAAAAAUGUCAAAAUGUUGGAAUUUCCCAUGGGAUGAGAAUUCCACUUUUUAUUUACAAUACAAUAUGGAAAGAAAUAGUGUUCCAGCAUAAGUCUGACCUUAGAAUGUCUCAGCUCUGGAAUGCCAGUCAAUUUAAUAUAUGCUUGAGGAUUGUGUAUUAAGCUUUCUGAAUGAUUUAUGCCAAUCAUCUUUUCAUUAUUUCUUCACCAAUAUUGGCAGUGGUAAUUCCUUGUACAUUAAUGCAUUUUUUUCUCUCCGUCUAGAUACAACUUAUGUGAAAUAAACUACAAAUAAGUCUCCUUGGAACAUGCUUUUCAAUUCUAAGAAUUGUUCGUAUAUCUCAUCUUCUUUGCUGAAUUAGGCUCCAAUGAUGGACAAUGUCUGAUUUGAAUAAUAUUUAGUAUUAUCUUCAGUACUUAUUUUACAAAAUGUUUUGCAGUGUUGGUGAGUUGCAGUCCUCGUGGAGAUAAUAACACUCCUUAUGUGCUUGCUCAUAAAAUAUGAACUGAAGGUGAUCACUGAGAUUGAGACCUGCUGUAAAAUACCAGAAUGGCAGAUAAAAAUGUUAGUAGGAGCUUAUUUUUUUAGUUAAGUACAUAACUAAUCUUUACAUAAGGAAAGAUGGCUUCAGCUUGUAUUGAAGAGGUAAUUAACAAAUUAUCUGAAAGUUACGCUACUCAAGUGGAGCUUCUGCAGGUAAAAGAAACUGAAUGCAUUCCAUGUUUGCUCAUCAGAAAUGUGCCCAUAUUAGAAUUUAUUUACUUAACACUUCAGUGAUACUAUAACAACAGACAUCUUGACUGUGGGAGAUAAACUGAUGAAGUAUGUAACUUUAUAACAAAGACAAACUUAAUGUUUAAAAUGUUUAUAUUUUGCUGUCUAAGUUCUGGUAAAAUUAUCCUAUUUUAAAGAACUAGAUCUUGGUCUCUUCUCUCAAUACAUUGUCAAAGAGGUAGAAAACACCCUCACACUUUCUUAUGCAUCAUUAUUCCUGCUGGGUUUUCCUCUCUAACUGUUCUUCUCCUUACAGGAUAUACUUGGAAACAAACAGCAAAACAAAUAUAGCAGGCUUAUACAAAGCAGAGAUGACAACCAAAGCUUCUGUAACAUGCUAUAUUAUGCUGUCAAAAUAUAGAACAAUACACAGAGGAAAUUGCUUUAUCAACAGAAUUUGCUGGCGAUCUGAAAAACAGUGA
rnacentral:lncRNA from 1 species